rnacentral:rRNA from 1 species
UUGGAGGGCAAGUCUGGUGCCAGCAGCCGCGGUAAUUCCAGCUCCAAUAGCGUAUAUUAAAGUUGUUGCAGUUAAAAAGCUCGUAGUUGAAUUUCGGGGUUAGUAGGUUGGUCAUGCCUCUGGUAUGUACUGAUCUCACUGAUUCCUCCUUCCUUAUGAACCGUAAUGCCAUUAAUUUGGUGUUGCGGGGAAUUUGGACUGUUACUUUGAAAAAAUUAGAGUGUUUAAAGCAGGCUAACGCUUGAAUACAUUAGCAUGGAAUAAUGAAAUAGGACGUUUGAUUCUAUUUUGUUGGUUUCUAGGAUCGACGUAAUGAUUAAUAGGGAUAGUUGGGGGCAUUAGUAUUCAAUUGUCAGAGGUGAAAUUCUUGGAUUUAUUGAAGACUAACUACUGCGAAAGCAUUUGCCAAGGAUGUUUUCAUUAAUCAAGAACGAAAGUUAGGGGAUCGAAGACGGUCAGAUACCGUCGUAGUCUUAACCAUAAACUAUGCCGACUAGGGAUCGGAUGAUGUUAAUUUUUUAAUGACUCAUUCGGCGCCUUACGGGAAAC